AGUAGGUCAUGCUUAGCCUUGUCUAAAAUAACUAGGCAGAUGUGUUUAUCUGGCAUCUCCAGCUUUAUUGUGAGCAAACAGAGAGGUUAAGAUACUUGCCCUGAGACACCCAGUGAAUGAGUUAUAGAAACAAGACUAGAAUGUACCUAUGAGUGUGUUGCUGAAUGCUGAAUCCCAAAAUAUCACCAUGACAACCUGUAGACAAGCAAAGUGGAGUUUAUUGCCUACCAUAAGAGAGACUCAGCUUGACAGAGUCUAGUUGGGUCUCACUGGGGCAAGAGCAAAGAAUGUUUACUGAGAAUUUCAAGUCUGGUUUAAGGUGGAUCUUUCAAUGCAGAAGCUUGGUGAGAAGCAGGUGAUGUUUCUCCAAAUGAUGCUUCAGGGAUCCAGAUAUUUUCCAUCUUUAGACUCCACUGAGGUCUAAGAUCACAGAGUCUUCUGCUUCCAGCUCCAGAAAAGGAAAGAAGAGUGAAGAGGACACAAAGAACACGGACAUAUUUUCCGGAGCUCAGGUGGAUAGCUAAUGGACUGGAGAAGCUUUCAACUCAACUGGAGCGAUACAUAAAGGGAAAACUUAAUUACAGUUAGGAUUCAGUGGGUUAACUGGAUAAACAAGUAGCCUCUGUAUUUCGAAGUAUCUAAGACACUAUUGACUGUAAGAUGCACCAUUGUUUUAUGUACCUCUGAGGAGAAAAAGUGCUGCCAAAUUAAACUAUGGCCACAUUGCUUGAUG
ensembl:lncRNA